AUUGAACGCUGGCGGCAGGCCUAACACAUGCAAGUCGAGCGAGCGGCGGACGGGUGAGUAAUGUAUGGGGACUGCCCGAUAGAGGGGGAUAACUACUGGAAACGGUAGCUAAUACCGCAUACUAUCGGAUAACCCAUAUGGGAUUAGCUAGUAGGUGAGGUAAUGGCUCACCUAGGCGACGAUCCCUAGCUGGUCUGAGAGGAUGAUCAGCCACACUGGGACUGAGACACGGCCCAGACUCCUACGGAGGCAGCAGUGGGGAAUAUUGGACAAUGGGGGAAAGCCUGAUGCAGCCAUGCCGCGUGUAUGAAGAAGGCCUUAGGGUUGUAAAGUACUUUUGGUAGGGAGGCGUUACCGGCAGAAGAAGCACCGGCUAACUACGUGCCAGCAGCCGCGGUAAUAC
rnacentral:rRNA from 1 species